rnacentral:rRNA from 1 species
UUUGGGAUUAGCAUCCUGUCACCAGGUAGCCGCCUUCUGUACCCCCCAUUGUAACACGUGUGUAGCCCCGGACGUAAGGGCCGUGCUGAUUUGACGUCAUCCCCACCUUCCUCACAUCUUACGACGGCAGUCUCUCUAGAGUCCUCAGCAUGACCUGUUAGUAACUAAAGAUAAGGGUUGCGCUCGUUAUGGCACUUAAGCCGACACCUCACGGCACGAGCUGACGACAACCAUGCAGCACCUUCACAACAGCCUUACGGCUAUCCUGUUUCCAAUAUAUUCUGUUGCAAUUUAAGCCCGGGUAAGGUUCCUCGCGUAUCAUCGAAUUAAACCACAUGUUCCUCCGCUUGUGCGGGCCCCCGUCAAUUCCUUUGAGUUUCACCGUUGCCGGCGUACUCCCCAGGUGGAAUACUUAAUGCUUUCGCUUGGCCGCUUACUGUAUAUCGCAAACAGCGAGUAUUCAUCGUUUACUGUGUGGACUACCAGGGUAUCUAAUCCUGUUUGAUACCCACACUUUCGAGCAUCAGUGUCAGUKRCAGUCUAGUGAGCUGCCUUCGCAAUCGGAGUUCUUCGUGAUAUCUAAGCAUUUCACCGCUACACCACGAAUUCCGCCCACCUCUACUGUACUCAAGACUGCCAGUUUCAACUGCAAUUUUACGGUUGAGCCGCAAACUUUCACAACUGACUUAACAAUCCACCUACGCUCCCUUUAAACCCAAUAAAUCCGGAUAACGCUCGGAUCCUCCGUAUUACCGCGGCUGCUGGCACGGAGUUAGCCGAUCCUUAUUCAUAUGGUACAUACAAAAUUCCACACGUGGAAUACUUUAUUCCCAUAUAAAAGAAGUUUACGACCCAUAGGGCCUUCAUCCUUCACGCUACUUGGCUGGUUCAGGCUCUCGCCCAUUGACCAAUAUUCCUCACUGCUGCCUCCCGUAGGAGUUUGGACCGUGUCUCAGUUCCAAUGUGGGGGACCUUCCUCUCAGAACCCCUAUCCAUCGUUGUCUUGGUGGGCCGUUACCCCGCCAACAAACUAAUGGAACGCAUCCCCAUCGAUAACCGAAAUUCUUUA